UCAAUAUAUUAAUUUAUAUCAUAAAACACUGAAACCACUUGGAACUAUAAGCUUUCUCUGUUCUCACAGCUUUUUGCUAUAAUACUUUCCCACUUGUGUGGUUUACCUACAAACAUGCAUCCAGCAGGACUGUGCAUGUGUAAAGAGGAGAGCUGGCAACCAGAAUAUUCUGUGUAGAGAAAUACCUCUCUCUGUUUGUAUGAAGAACUGACGGGACAUGCAAUGCUGUGAAAGGUCCCCUUCCUUGGGAGUUGAAUUGCAAUGUAAAUGGAAGGAGCCAGCUACUGUCUUAUUGGCCUUUGAUAAAGGAAACAGCUUGUUCAAGUCCAACCAUUUUGUUUGUUUGCAUGUUCUGCAACUGCACAGCUUGGACAAUAUCACCAGUUUAAUUUCAGCAGGCCCUGUGUCCCAGCAGCUCUUGCUAUCAGUUUUCUGGAUAUGGCAGAAAAAGAGCCCAGAUCUUAUUAGCACUGGAGCUAGGAAGUGGUGUUACCACGAGACAGAGGAGAUUACCAUGCUGUGCUGUAAACCUUGUCAUGAAAAUUCUGCAAAGGAGUAG
rnacentral:lncRNA from 1 species